CAAGUCAUCCAGCUUCUAGCAGCAAAGCCCAGGUCUGCAUGUAGCCUUUUAGACAGCACUGCCUGGCAAUGGCACCCCACUCCAGUACUCUUGCCUGGAAAAUCCCAUGGACAGAGGAGCCUGGUAGGCUGCAGUCCAGGGGGUCGCUAAGAGUCGGAUACGACUGAGCGACACCCCUUUCACUUUUCACUUUCAUGCACUGGAGAAGGAAAUGGCAACCCACUCCAGUGUUUUGCCUGGAGAAUUCCAAGGACAGAGGAGGCUAGUGGGCUGCCGUCUAUGGGUUCGCACAGAGUCGGACACGACUGAAGCGACUUAGCAGCAGCAGCAGCAGCCCCAGCUCCCAGCUGUUUGCUUAGUUUGGUGUGUGUUGAUCUCCGCACGCUGACUGCUGUGGAGCAUUUCUGGAAAGGAUCCUGGAUACACAGUGUCUAAGAGUCAGUUGCCUGUCCAUGUGUGUCAUAGUUUCCGACCUGCCUGGGAUUCCCUGUGUGCACCGCUAGCUCCAAGGUCACUGCCCAGGACUGAAAGGAGAAGGAGUUGUAGAGGAGGCAGAGAAUGAGACACCCCUGCUAAUGGUAUGCUAACGAGAGAAAUGGAGCAGGAGGUGGACUGCAGGAAGAAGAAGAUGGCCAUGGUGAGGACCAGUACGGAGAUGAAGAACAGAGAAUGGAUUCCAGGGAUGUCACAUCGCUGACAUUUCUAUUGCUUCAGCCUGGAAACUUCAUUAUUGGAGACAAUGGAAGUAGAUUUUUGUCUAAGCUGCAACUUCUACAGUAAAAAUACUGUGGA
rnacentral:lncRNA from 1 species